rnacentral:tRNA from 1 species
GAACUAUUUUUAUUUUUGUUUUGAAAACAGAAAUUAAGAGUUAUUCUUGUAGUUU